UCCUCGUUAACCGAGGCAGUCUCGCUAGAGUGCCCGCCAUUACGCGCUGGCAACUAACGACAAGGGUUGCGCUCGUUGCGGGACUUAACCCAACACCUCACGGCACGAGCUGACGACAGCCAUGCAGCACCUGUUCAAGAGCCCCUUGCGGGGAGACUUCAUUUCUGAAGCUGUCUCUUGUAUGUCAAACCUAGGUAAGGUUUUUCGCGUUGCAUCGAAUUAAACCACAUACUCCACUGCUUGUGCGGGUCCCCGUCAAUUCUUUUGAGUUUCACCCUUGCGAGUGUACUUCCCAGGCGGUGUACUUAUCGCGUUCGCUACGACACAGUCGGGGUUGAGCCCAACUACAUCAAGUACACAUCGUUUACGGCAAGGACUAC
rnacentral:misc_RNA from 1 species